rnacentral:rRNA from 1 species
GGGGAAUUUUCCGCAAUGGGCGAAAGCCUGACGGAGCAAUACCGCGUGAGGGAGGAAGGCUCUUGGGUUGUAAACCUCUUUUCUCAGGGAAGAAUGAUGACGGUGCCUGAGGAAUAAGCAUCGGCUAACUCCGUGCCAGCAGCCGCGGUAAUACGGAGGAUGCAAGCGUUAUCCGGAAUGAUUGGGCGUAAAGCGUCCGCAGGUGGCAAUGUAAGUCUGCUGUCAAAGCGUCUGGCUCAACCAGAUAAAGGCAGUGGAAACUACAUAGCUAGAGUAAGGUAGGGGUAGAGGGAAUUCCUGGUGUAGCGGUGAAAUGCGUAGAGAUCAGGAAGAACACCGGUGGCGAAAGCGCUCUGCUGGACCUUAACUGACACUGAGGGACGAAAGCUAGGGGAGCGAAUGGGAUUAGAUACCCCAGUAGUCCUAGCCGUAAACGAUGGAUACUAGGCGUUGCCCGUAUCGACCCGGGCAGUGUCGUAGCUAACGCGUUAAGUAUCCCGCCUGGGGAGUACGCAGGCAACUGUGAAACUCAAAGGAAUUGACGGGGGCCCGCACAAGCGGUGGAGUAUGUGGUUUAACUCGAUGCAACGCGAAGAACCUUACCAGGGCUUGACAUGUCCGGAAUCCUCUUGAAAGGGAGGAGUGCCUUCGGGAGCCGGAACACAGGUGGUGCAUGGCUGUCGUCAGCUCGUGUCGUGAGAUGUUGGGUUAAGUCCCGCAACGAGCGCAACCCUCGUUCUUAGUUGCCAUCAUUAAGUUGGGAACUCUAAGGAGACUGCCGGUGACAAACCGGAGGAAGGUGGGGAUGACGUCAAGUCAGCAUGCCCCUUACGCCCUGGGCUACACACGUACUACAAUGCUAUGGACAAAGGGCAGCAAGCCAGCGAUGGCAAGCAAAUCUCGUAAACCAUGGCUCAGUUCAGAUCGCAGGCUGCAACUCGCCUGCGUGAAGUCGGAAUCGCUAGUAAUUGCAGGUCAGCAUACUGCAGUGAAUUCGUUCCCGGGCCUUGUACACACCGCCCGUCACACCAUGGAAGCUGGUCACGCCCGAAGUCGUUACCCUAACCUUUCGAGGAGGGGGACGCCGAAGGUAGGACUGGUGACUGGGGUGAAGUCGUAACAAGGUAGCCGUACCGGAAGGUGUGGCUGGAUCACCUCCUU